CCCUAAAAUUGUUGCGGCGCGUACGUGUUGAUGAGCAAUCUACCUGACCCUCUUCUCCAAAUGGCCUUUCUCCUUUUCCAUUUUAUGAUUUAUCUCACCCGCUCGACAAAAUGCUUGUGGCGACGGCCUUUCUUUCUUUCCUUCCAACCGAAAAGGCCAUCGCCGCAACCAUUUUGUCGAGCAGGUGGAAGCUCCUCUGGAACACUCCACCACCUCGAUCAUACAUCAGAAUUCAGAAGCUAGUUUUGGCUCUCCGCAUACGCAUAGCACCGUUCCUCCAAAAAGCUAUUCUAGUUGUGAGUUGUGACACUUUCCUUCUUGACAUAUGGACCCACACUUCCAUACCCCGUAAUGUCCAACAGCUACAUCUCCAGAUUUACCUUAAUGGCGAUCACGAAGAUUUCCUUUGUUGGAUAACUUUUCGUGCUCUUGACUGAUGUCUUUUUCUUUUUUCUUUUUUCUUUUUUCUUCUUGCAAAUUGAAAUGUAGAGUUUGACCGGUUGACCCUCGAAGCUAAUGAUUCUCUGCAUCAGAAUACUCAGGGACGGUCCGAUCAGAUUUAAAAUAUACGUACUUGACGAGGACUAGACCAUUGAAGAUAAGAUUGGAUAUGGAAACAGGGUAUUCAGGCUUCCUGGUGGCAAAAAGUAUUACGACUUUGAAGAUCGGUUUUGCUGAAUGGAGCCACUGGAUGAUGAUCCUCGUUACUUGUCAUCGAUCGCACCUUAAAACUUUUACGUUUAAUCUAUAUGAAGGAUUGAAACGUGAAGUUGAAUUUGUAAGAUAUUUUCUAAAGGAGACCUAGGGUGUUUGAUAUAUGCACUUAAAAACUGAAAAUAUAUAUUUAAAAAUGUGUAAAAAUAUACAUGAAUAAAAAAGUGUAUGAAAAUACGUAUUAAGAUUUAAAAUACUGUACUAAGUUUAAUAAAGAAAAUUAUUCUUGAAAAACUAUCAGCGUUCCCAAGGCACUCAAGGACAUGUCUACUUACCGUUGGGAAAAAGGUAAAAGGAGUGGGGAUUUUGAUUUUUAACGGUUUACACUUUACAGUUGAGGAUGUCAAUGCUUAUUAUCACUGAGUUAUUAAUCUAUAACUAGUACUUAGCAACUAAUUUGAAGGGGGAGAGAGAGAGAGAGAGAGGAUCAAUUAUCUUAAGUAGUCUGACCUCCAUGUCAAAGAAAUUGUUCAAUAGGAUAAGUAUGUUUGCUUUUUGAAUCACGCGAUUUUUUUUUCUUUUUUAUUGAAAAAGAGAUGUUCAUAAAUAGGCUUUGUUAACUCUUGAUAUGCCUGGAAUUUUAGAAUCUGGCUCACUCAAUUUGUUCCCGAUUAUGACAAGUGAAAUGGUAAUAUAAUUGAAUGAUUUUAUUAGAAGUGUGACCUCAGAAAUUAAAUGUUGAAAAGAAAGACUUAGAAAUUUUUCUUUUUUAAUCAAUCUUCACGACUAUAUAUGGACUAUCACAGAUAACUCUUGGUGGAACAAGUGGCAAAUUCAUUAUAUCAACAUGGCACCUCCAUUACUUGUCAUGACUAAUGGAUAUUACUCAUAUUAGAAUGACGGAUUUACUAAAUGUCCCACAAGCUACUAGAUUUACUAAGAAUCUGUUUGGCAUCAACUUCAGCUGUUAGCUUUUAACUUUUAGUUUUUAUAUACAACUUUUUAAAACCUGGUUUUUUCUAUUUUUUUUAAGAUACAAGUAUACUUUAGUACACCUUCAGCAAUAAUUUUCAACAAAAAACUAGAUAUACUAUUCCCAAAUGGACAUAUGUAUUUGUUCUUUAAUUAAACCCUUUUUUUUUUAUUUGUUAAGAAUUUAAAAUUAUAAUUGUAAGGAUGACAGGCCCAGAAGUAUAUAUUGGGUCGAGGACACUUAAUAGUCCAAAGACAGAUAAACGUCACCAUGAAAGUGCACAUUAGUGAACGAAGAAAGGGGUCUAGUCAUGAGGGUUCAGGAAGGAGAUCUAAGGACAAAUGCCACCUCGGCUUGACGGAGCAAAAGUCAAAAGGGUGGACCUACCAUCAAGAGCAACGUCCUAGGUAGUUCUACUGGUAAGGAUAAGCAUCAAGAAUGGAUAAGGCAAUAGAAAAGUAAGAAAUAUCUAAGUGAAAGCUGCUGCCACCACAUUGAAUGCUCUGUAACUAACUCUCUAGCCACAUUAAUGUGGAGGUGAUACCUAAACAAUGAUAUUCAACCUUACAAUUACCUCUAAAAACUUCAGGAAGGUGCUAAUGUGACAAAGAUAAAAGCUAGCCAUCUGAUCAACACGUGGAUGGCUAAGAUGGAGCGAAGAAGAGUAAUAUAAGGAAGGAAAAUCCCAUUGUAGAGAGGCAUCUGAGAAUUUGUAAAGAAGACACUGUAGCACUGAAAACUGAAAUUGUACUCAAGUCUAAAAGUAAUAUAAUCAAGAACUACUUUCCUCGGACUAAGCCGAGGAAGACUUUCUUUGCAUAAAA